UCCAGGGUCUGCUGGGACCAGGUGGCUUCAACAGUCUCUACCAAAUGUCCUUCCAGCAGUGGAGCCGCUUCUCCCUUUGUGGCCCGAGAACCUUCCGGACCCCACUCUGCUCCUGGGGAUUCGCCCUUGCCACCAGAGCACCACCAGGUCCUGACAAGCAAA